rnacentral:rRNA from 1 species
UCGGAGGAAAAGAAACCAACUGGGAUUACCUUAGUAACGGCGAGUGAAGCGGUAAAAGCUCAAAUUUGAAAUCUGGUACUUUCAGUGCCCGAGUUGUAAUUUGUAGAAUUUGUCUUUGAUUAGGUCCUUGUCUAUGUUCCUUGGAACAGGACGUCAUAGAGGGUGAGAAUCCCGUUUGGCGAGGAUACCUUUUCUCUGUAAGACUUUUUCGAAGAGUCGAGUUGUUUGGGAAUGCAGCUCAAAGUGGGUGGUAAAUUCCAUCUAAAGCUAAAUAUUGGCGAGAGACCGAUAGCGAACAAGUACAGUGAUGGAAAGAUGAAAAGAACUUUGAAAAGAGAGUGAAAAAGUACGUGAAAUUGUUGAAAGGGAAGGGCAUUUGAUCAGACAUGGUGUUUUUUGCAUGCACUCGCCUCUCGUGGGCUUGGGCCUCUCAAAAAUUUCACUGGGCCAACAUCAAUUCUGGCAGCAGGAUAAAUCAUUAAGAAUGUAGCUACUUCGGUAGUGUUAUAGCUUUUUGGAAUACUGUUAGCCGGGAUUGAGGACUGCGCUUCGGCAAGGAUGUUGGCAUAAUGGUUAAAUGCCGCCCGUCUUA